AGAAAUGCAGUCUCCUUCAAUGUGCAUAUUGAACAAAUAUGUUGGACUGCUUUCUUCAGGCUCUCAUCCACAGCAUGACUUUUGUCAAGCACAUGGCCCCGCCUCCCUGAGCCUGGUUAUACUGGAGGUUUCUUCCUGUUCAAAAAGGGUUUUCCCCUUGCUCGUGGUGGGUCAUAUGAUUUUUGGAGUUUAGAGAAUGAGAUCAUAGAACAAGUUUUAUUACAGUGAGUGACAUGAAAAUGAAGCUUUGUGAUUUACUGUAUUUGUUUGGUUUGACUUUGUCUUUUUGAGUCCACACUCCACACCAGUGGGUGGCAGUAAUAAACCAUUAUUUUGUUUGCCAACCACAAAUAAAAGCAGCAGAAGACCUCAAAGAAGGCGGGAGCACAGCUGAACAUAACACCGCCGCGAGUAAAAGAGAGGCACAGACAGUCUGCAGCUUCCUUCAUUUCACCAUCGAACACUGAAGAGUUUGUAGCAGUGAUUCAGAUUAUUCUGAUCAUCAGAAUGGAUACGGGACGACAGACAUGGUCGCUCAAUCAGCAAGACCUGCGGAUCAAUAUCUGUGGAAGAGAAGUCACAGUCCUAUGGCGGGAAACAGUAAAUUAUCUCAUUGAUAAGACGUAUAGUUUACCUCUUUGGCUUCUUUGUCUUCUUCACUGUGUUAAAAUCGAUGAAGAAACCCUCCUGAAGAAGCUGCUCAGUGGAGCGGUUAGAGGCAGCGCCUGGAUUUGGAGCAAGUUUCAGCGACGCGUCAGCAACGCAAACGCACUUGUAAAGAGGGUAAGAAGCCCCCCAGGACCCAGAGGAAGGAGAUCUGGGCCAUCCACCACCCUCCAAGACUGCCGAAGACCACACGUCUCAACCUGUAGAUGAUGCACACGUCAUGUCAGUCUGCUCAUCUGCAGGAACAGGACACCUAUCAAUGCUUCUGCUGGGUGCUGCCAGCCCGGGCAGAGUGCAGGAACAGGCGUUUAGGAAGACCUUCCCACUCCCACUCAUCAGUGCUACGAAUUAUGGAUUUGAUCAACUGGUCCCUGAAUGGGAUUGACACCCUCUUCUCAAUGAGAAGCCUGGGCUCGGGUGAGCCUGAGUGUCCUGGAGAGACGUUCCCUGCCGAAUACACGAUGGAUGGGUGGCGUAACUGGAGGGUCGUGUGCCUGGCAGGACUGUUGAUCGAGGACAUUGAGGACAUCUACCUUUUCGGAACCAUGAUAACAGGGUUCUUGCUGAUUGAUGCUGGCUUGGACCUGGCUUAUCGACGAUUAAAGAAAGCAGAAUCGGCUGUUCAAACCCCCACAAGGCUGCCUGCUGGGAUUGAAAUGAUGGGACGAGUUGUGACUUCUCAAAAUGGGCUCAUUGAGCGCAGCACGGAAAAGAUCUUGGAGAAGCGUGAGGCUGCCGUGAACACUCAGAAAAAGACCUCUGAGAGAAAAAUGGAUAAUGGAUUAUGGAUUUUCACCACCAUCUUCAACCUCUCACUGCUACAGUCUGUAGUACCAUCCUGCCUUAAGUCAGCCACCAUCGUUCCAGUGCCCAAGAAGAACACAGUGAGCUGCUUGAAUGACGUCCAGUUGCUUUAACACCCAUAAUUGCCAAACGUUUUGAACAGCUCAUCAAGUCACACAUUAAAGCUGCCAUCCCUGCAAACCUCAAUCCACACCAGUAACACCAUUAUAAAAUUUGCUGAUGACACCACUGUCAUAGGACUGAUCAACAACA